rnacentral:rRNA from 1 species
UGAGGAAUAUUGGACAAUGAACGAAAGUUUGAUCCAGCAAUAUCACGUGAAUGAAGAAGGUUUAUUUUAUCGUAAAGUUCUUUCAAUGAGGAGGAUAAUGACGUUACUCAUAGAAGAAGUCCCGACUAACCUCGUGCCAGCAGUCGCGGUAAUACGGGGGGGGCAAGCGUUACUCUACAUUACUGGGUGUAAAGCGUGUUAAGGUGGUUUAAUAAGUUCUUUCUUAAAUGUUAAAACUCAAUUUUAAAACUGGAAAUGAAUACUGUUAAACUAGAGUAUAUUAGGAGAUAGUUGUAUGUUUAGUGUAGGAGUAGAAUUCUUUAAUAUUAAAAAGACAUCCAAUGGGUGAAGACUACUAUCUAUAGUAUUACUGACACUGACACACAAAAGCGUGAGGAGC